UCCCACCUGGGCAACUGGGUGGGGGAAGUGGCGAAAGGGGCAGUAAGGCGUGGGUAACCUACCCCGGGGAUCGGGAUAGCCNUCCUAACGGACGGGUAAUACCGGGCGAACUGACGAGGGGGCCUCCUCUUGUCAGGAAAGGAGUUUCGCCUCGGGAGGGGCUCACGUAGUAUUAGCUUGUUGGCGGGGUAACGGCCCACCAAGGCCAAGAUGCUUAGCGGGUGUGAGAGCACGACCCGCGCCACUGGCACUGAGACACUGGCCAGACUCCUACGGGAGGCUGCAGUCGAGGAUCUUCGGCAAUGGGCGCAAGCCUGACCGAGCGACGCCGCGUGUGCGAUGAAGGCCUUCGGGUUGUAAAGCACUGUCGAGGGGGAGAAAAGCCCGCAAGGGUCUGAUCUAUCCCUGGAGGAAGCACGGGCUAAGUUCGUGCCAGCAGCCGCGGUAAGACGAACCGUGCGAACGUUGUUCGGAUUCACUGGGCUUAAAGGGCGCGUAGGCGGGCGGUCAAGUCAGGGGUGAAAUCUUUCAGCUCAACUGGAAAAGGGCCUUUGAUACGGAUCGCCUCGAGGGAGGUAGGGGCAUGUGGAACUUCCGGUGGAGCGGUGAAAUGCGUAGAUAUCGGAAGGAACGCCGGUGGCGAAAGCGACGUGCUGGACCUCUUCUGACGCUGAGGCGCGAAAGCCAGGGGAGCGAACGGGAUUAGAUACCCCGGUAGUCCUGGCCCUAAACGAUGGGUACUAGGUUGUGGACUUGACAUGGGUUCCCAGCCGAAGCAAAAGUGUUAAGUACCCCGCCUGGGGAGUAUGGUCGCAAGGCUG
rnacentral:rRNA from 1 species